UACGUAGGGUGCGAGCGUUAAUCGGAAUUACUGGGCGUAAAGCGUGCGCAGGCGGUGAUGUAAGACAGAUGUGAAAAUCCCCGGGCGUCAACCUACGGGAACGUAGCGAUUUGUUGACUGCAUCGCUGGAGUGCGGCAGAGGGGAGUGAAGUUCCGCGUGUAGCAGUGAAAUAGCGUAGAUAUGCGGAGGAACACCGAUGGCGAAGGC
rnacentral:rRNA from 1 species